CACUGCAAGUCGAACGCGCAGCAUUUGUAGCAUACAGAUGAUGUGGCGCGUGGCGAACGGGUGCGUAACACGUGGAUAACUUCCUUCAGGUGGGGAAUAACCCAGUGAAAAUUGGGCUAAUACCGUCAUAACAUGACGAUGGCUCAUGCUGUUGUUCUUCAAAGGCGCAAGUCGCCAGAAGAGGGAUCCGCGGCCGAUUAGCUAGUUGGCGAGGUAAUGGCUCACCAAGGCAAUGAUCGGUAGCCGGACUGAGAGGUUGGCCGGCCACACUGGAACUGAGACACGGUCCAGACUCCAUACGGGAGGCAGCAGUGGGGAAUCUUGCACAAUGGACGAAAGUCUGAUGCACAACGCCGCGUGGGGGAUGAAGCUUUUCGGAGUGUAAACCCCUUUCGACCCGGAAGAAAGCCCGCAAGGGUUUGACGGUACGGGUAUAAGAAGCCCCGGUUAACUACGUGCCAGCAGCCGCGGUAAAACGUAGGGGGCCAGCGUUGCUCGGAAUUACUGGGCGUAAAGGGUCCGUAAGGCGGUGUGGCAAAGUCGGGUAGUUGGAAAAUCUCUGGGCU
rnacentral:rRNA from 1 species